AUACGGAGGGUGCGAGCGUUAAUCGGAAUUACUGGGCGUAAAGGGUGCGUAGGCGGCUUGAUAAGUCGGAUGUGAAAGCCCCGGGCUUAACCUGGGAAUUGCAUUCGAUACUGUCAGGCUAGAGUAUGUCAGAGGUUGGCGGAAUUCCUGGUGUAGCGGUGAAAUGCGUAGAUAUCAGGAGGAACACCAGUGGCGAAGGCGGCUAACUGGGACAAUACCGACGCUGAGGCACGAAAGCGUGGGGAGCAAACAGGAUUAGAAACCCUGGUAGUCC
rnacentral:rRNA from 1 species